CAUGUCACACGAAAUAGUUAGCAAAGACAAGAAAUUGAUUAUGGUUCACAUAGGUAGACUAAUUCAAAAGAAAUCAGGAAAAACGUGUAGAUCUCUUCAGUAGUUAUUCAAAUUAAAUUAAGUAGACCAAAGAAUGCAGUCAGAUAAACGAUAAAUAUUUGAUUACAAGGGUGGACGAGAAUAACAUGUAAACUACAUAUUAGCUUUACAAUAUAUGUAGCUGGCGCUGUACCUAUCGAAAUCGACAAAACAGGCAACCUAUUUUGCUAUGAAUUCAAACGAGAGAAUUUAAGUUGCAGCAGAAAAUAUACAUAAGAACACUGUGCUUAACAAAAUCAGAUGAUGGUCUACGAAAAUGAAGAUACUGGCAACACAGUACUUGCUCUUAGAAUAGAAGUUUUUUUUUUGAACAGUCAUGCCGUUGCCUACAUUUUAUAUAAAGAAGAAGAAGGUGUCCCAUUUUAAGGAGACUCUUAUAAUAGAAUUUAUCCGCUGGUGUAAAAUGUCAGGUGAUAGUAACUUGUAAACUUUUCCUCACAUAAAUGGUAAGUAUCUUUCCUCAUUCUCUCGAGGGGAAAAAAGAAAAAAAAACUUAUUGUACAGGAGUAGUGUUAAGAAAACCCAUCCAUAAUAAGUUAGUGUUUGUAAAACAGCGUACAAAGCAAGCACACAAUAUUCUCAACACAUCCUUGUCUAGCCAUUAUCUACUCCCUCCGUCCCUAAAUAUAAGGGAUUUUGGUUGGAUGUGCGUCACAUCCAACCAAAAUCCCUUAUAUUUAGGGACAAAGGGAGUAUUCAAUAGCUAGAUCUUAAAAACAUUCUGACACAACGAAAUAAAAUGGUAAGACUAUGACCAGUUGAAUAUGCUUAUCUUUCAUCGUUAGAAUUUUUUUUUUCAGAAAAAGAACCAUUCAAUUACUUCCUCUGAUCAAAACCAUUUGCAAGCGCAAGAUUUCUUCAAACUCUUGAAAUUUCAACCAUCAACAAUUUCUCAAAUGCUUAUAUUCAAAACAAAAGAAAUGCUUUUUGUAGAUUUACCUCCAAAAGUAAAGUUAUAAUACCAUAAAUGUAUUAGAUUUGAUUAAGUUAUUCCAAUAUAAAAUUCAUUGUCGGAAUUUUAAAAGUUUAGACCAAAUCUUGUCCUAAACAUCAAAUAUUUAUGACCAAAGGAGUAGCAUCUGAAAAGAAUUACUCCCUCCAUUUCAAAUCACUUUUUCUAGCUUUGUUGUCCUAAGUCAAACAUUUUUAUCUUUUGACUAUUAUUUUCUAGAAAUUCAUAUGGUUUAACAUCAUUAGAAUUAUGUUUUCGGAUUCACCAUAAGAAAAUAUUUUCUCAACAUAUAUAAUUCGCAUGCUCUUAAACUACAAGAAUUUCUAAAAAAAAAAUUGAUGGUCAAAGAUAAAAAUGUUUGACUUAGGACAAACCUAGAACAACAACUAAUUUAAAACAGAGGGGGUAUAAAAUUAAUUAAACAAAAUAAUAACCAUGUUCAAGGAUAACAGAGCACUGCAUGAGAAAUGAACCCUACAAAUAACCAUAAGAGGACUAAUUCUGUUUUAGUGAAUUAUCAGGCAUAUUAGGUACAAGAAAUGCAGUAUAUAAAUCUCUUAAAUAAUGUCUUGGAUUAAAUAAUUACAACUGUCAAAGUGUAGUUAACCCUUUGCGCUCUUUUAGUGCAAAGAUGAGAUAGUUUCUCUGAUGUAAACAGUCCUGAUUGGGAUAAGAGUGUGAUGAGUACUACGAUAGUUCUACGACAAGUUUACUUAGCUUUAGUAAGGAAUAACAUUUUUUUCUUCCUGUGGAGUAAAUAUCAACUAAUUAUGCAAGGAUAAUACAGGUCCUAGCGAUAUCUAGGUCGACAGGCCUAUUAAAUUUUAUUCCAAGGCAAAAUAUAUAGAUUGAUUGCACUCAAAACAGUUUCAGUAGAGUUGUCAGGAAAAUAAUUUAGUACUUUUAAUUUAUUUACUACAUGCAAAGAACAAUGCUAAAUGUAGCGCUAAAUACUGUAAAAGGUCGUUUAUUUAGAGUGUAUGCACGUAGUUACUGAUGCCAUAAAUUGGCUAAAUUGGUGCAUUGGAUAAUCUGUGGUGCUAGUUUUUUUUUCUUUUUAUGUGUAGCAAGUCAAUAUCUCACCAGUAAACUGUUUAUCUUAAUGGUUAAUAUCUUAUAUAAGUAGUCUGUUCAUUUGAAAUUUUGUGGAGUCUGAUUCUAUGGUAUCAAUUUUGCUGUGAAAAUUCACAACUUUUUAAUUGUUUUUGUAGCUUGGGUGAACCGGGUAUUCUCUCCUCUACUACGCUAGAUUAAUUCGUACAUACAAGACUACUGAAAAUCAGCUGAUAUCCUAGAAAUGAGAAGAAGAUAACUUCGCUUUGGACACAAUGGUUGUUCAAUUGCCACCUGGCGAAGCCAGGUUCUACACCCAUCCUUACACUGGAACUUUUGCAGCCGUAAAUUUGGAGGUAUGUGUGUCUUUUUUUUGUAACGAUUUGCUUUAAAACAAUAUACUAGUAGCAUACUUGUGUAUGUUCAACAUUUCAGCACAAUUAUUUAUCAUUUAUUUAAAAAAUUCAUGUUUUAAAUAUUUAAUAUAUAUUUAGUUAUGAUCAAUUGCAACUCAUGGAUGAUGGUGCUAGCAUAUUCAUGUAAUCAUGCAUAUCGGUUACUUGCAUGAAGUUCUAAAACAUAAGGCCACAUUAGGGGGGAAACAAGGAUCAAUAAAUGAAGGGUUAGACGAUUUUCCCCACAUUUGUUCCCAACUUGUGAAGAAUUACUGCUUAUGUAAGGAGCAGAGAACAUUGGUUUACUCUGCAAAAUGAAGAAAAACAGGGAAAGAUAAUACAGAAGCUAAUUUUGACUCAGGCAUUCUUGGUCGGACUCCCUGUAAAACAUCUAUAAAAAGGUCAGACACAUCCAAAUAUUCACAGGAGCAAGACAAUUAUUUCAUGUAACCCACGGGAAAAUUUUCAAAAAUGACAAUAUGAGUCAUGGGUAAAUUCUACCACAGCACAUCUUGUAUUGUGUAGCACAAAAUAUUGCACUUCUAUAAGACUUUAUUUGGUCAAUAUAACAUGAAUCAUGUAUAAAAAUAAUGCGCAACUUAAUUUUUCAUAAAUAAAUAAGAAACAUUAGUAUCUAUGCGAAAAUAAUGCCAAGGAAAAAACAGAACAAUCAACUGGGAGAGGUAGCCGAAUCACUGCCUAAAUAGUUCCUUUGUGUUCACUAAAUAGAUGAAAAUAUAUAUUAUUGAAUAUAGCAGCUUUACAUUAAAAAAGGAAAAAGAAAAGCAAGAGAGUGUUCUAGGAGCUGCACUCGCAUGCAAACAAAAUAUUGAUGGAAUGCAUCAUGCAAGUUGCAAUAUUUGUAGGAUUUUUAAGACUCAAUUUUGAAGAACUAAGUUAAUUAAAGAGAUAUUUUUGUUUUAACUUGCAUUAACCAAAAACUACAGCUAAUAAAAUUAAGAGCAGAAGCAAACGAAGAGGACCUUCAUUACCCAGCAGAACCUCAGACUAAAUGUACAGAAGAUGUCUGACACAUCAAGAAAAAGGAAUGCCAGACACAGAAACUCCGGAAUUUAGAAAUGGAAGAACCAACACUAUCGAUUUGGCAAUCACAAAAAGACAUGAGGGGAACAAUUAUCAUCCAAAAAAUUUUUGUUAACUCAAUUUGUCGAGUCAUACUACUGUCCUCCAGUUGCAUGCAUUGUCUUUUCUAGUGACGUACGUUCCAUUGCAAAAUCAGUCAGCUCUUUUCCAUCCCAUUGUUUUCUUUUGUUUGCUUUUUAGCAAGCAAAGUUUCAGUAUCUCUUUUGGUGUUGCCUCGAGACAAACGGAAACUCGUGAUAUCUGUGUCCCCUGCUUUUGCAUGGCCUUGAAAGAAUGCAUGCAACGAAGAAUCUUGGAGUACAUCAGGUGCAACAUCAGUCAGAAAAAUGCAGUGUUGUUUUGUGAUUAAAAUCAAGCUAUGGUCCUAAACACAAUUAGGAAUGAUCACCUGCAACCUUGACCGGGUGAUAUUCAGGUUGCCUCGUGAAUCAGGUAAGCCAGUCAUAUUUUUUGGAAAAGAGAACGCAUAUAGAGUAGAUGUGCGUCUACCUAGGUCCAAGUAGUAGGACAAAGAACAAUUGAACCUGAGAAGAAAUGAGUUGACAGCUGAAAAAUACAGACGCAUUUGAACUCGGACUAGCCUUGGAAAGCAUCCAAUGUUUCUUGACCGCCAUUACAUCUAUGAGAGAGAAUGAAGAGAACUAGAAGAAGACUGGCAAAAAAUACACGAGUAGUACUCUAUAGUGGAGUAUAUAAUACUGGUACUACUAGUAUAGCCAAGGAGAUCACCCAAAAUAUUGCAAGGAGAUCUCACAUCAAAUAAUAGGCUAUGCUCUUGCUUAACUGUAUCUUUCUCGAGGCUAGCUCUGACCGUUCUGUCCAUGCGACUUCACUGGUCAGAAAACACAGAAUACCAAGUCAUGGAGUAUACUGCUGUACAUUGGAUUUCUACACAAGACUGACCUACUGUAUAGUAUACUAUCCCAUUUACUCAUCUGUCUACCUACUACGUAUAUAGUAGAGUGUGUAGGAAUACAUCUAUCUGACCAUUGGAUUUCUA